CGGACGGGUGAGUAAUGUCUGGGAAACUGCCCGAUGAGGGGGGAUAACUACUGGAAACGGUAGCUAAUACCGCAUAACGUCGCAAGACCAAAGAGGGGGACCUUCGGGCCUCUUGCCAUCGGAUGUGCCCAGAUGGGAUUAGCUAGUAGGUGGGGUAACGGCUCACCUAGGCGACGAUCCCUAGCUGGUCUGAGAGGAUGACCAGCCACACUGGAACUGAGACACGGUCCAG
rnacentral:rRNA from 1 species